CAGGGGCCGGGAUUUUCCUUCCCAUAUUUAGAGAUUUCAAAACAUGAACUGGAAAGUUAGAGGACUGAAAGAGAGCUCCCUUUGCACCAAUGUUUGAAAAGCAGGCUGCUGAGCGAUCCUUUAUUCCCGUUGCUCACAGCUGAGGACAAAGAGGUUCCAAAUACACUUGCAUCUUAGAAGAGCAUCCAGGAAAUGGGACCCGACCUCACAAGCUCCCGAGGCUUAUAAAGAGAGAGCAGUGCAGGCCUUCAGCAGCCAACCCCUCCUCAGCCCCAUCCUAUCCUCUGGUGCAUACAAGGAGAGGACUGAGGAUGGGGGUGGGAGAGAAAGCAGUGCUGUCCACCAUGGGGAGUAUAGGGUCGGUGGAGAUAGGUGAUCCUUUCAUAUGGACUGGAGGUGCCGAGAAGAAAAAAGAUGCAUUCUCAGGCCCCAGCCGAGGGCACAUCGAGCUGCCCAAACGGGAUUUCAGAAGGAUGGUGCAGUUCAUGCCGGCAGUUGCGGGGUGGCGGUAGAGUGUGCCCAGAAAGAAGAUGGGGGCUACCUCUCACUCAUCUCUGCCUCCUGGGCAGGAAGAGAAGAAGCCCCCAGCCGUUCAGCCUGAAGCAACCCCAAACUGGGGUCAAGGUAAAAGCUGGGCCAGGUGAGGCAGCAGCUUACCCAGAGAGGGGUGGGAGACACGGACGACUGGAGGACCAGUCAUGGAAAUGGCUGCUCCUCUCUGGGGAGGUUCUCCGUUUCUGAGGAGGCAGAUGUGAACCGACCUCAGGAGCAACAGUGCCCACCAGCUCUGCAGAGACUCCAUGUCGGCAGGGAAUAUCAGCAGCAGUUAGGAGCGCAUCGAAUGAGGUGAGGCCAGGAUGACCCUGGAGCUCCCCUCCCCUGGGACCUGAGGCUGGCAGGCAUGGUGAAAGGACACUUCCCAUUCAAUUCAGGGGCAGGAGGCACAGAGGUCUGAGCUGUCACCACUCCAAAUGUCCCAACUGCAGUCCAGCCAAUGACAGAGGUUGGGAGUACUGUGAAGUUGUCGUGUAAGGGCUUGAAACAGGACUGCAGUGACUUUUAAUAAUCAAAAAUGACCCAACUGCUAAGGAUAGAGCAGACAGUUUAUAUCACCACAGUUGAAAGUGGAGUUGAGGAAAACAAACCACCUGAGGUUUAAAAGCCCCCUAAAUUAAGACUUCUCUCUAAGCAGAUUAUAUCUGGGUAACAUCAUUUGCAGAACUAAAUUAUUUUAGUCUUGUUUUUAACAAAGCAUAGCUUUAGGGGCGGGGAUGUAGCUCAGUGGCACAGUGCCUGCCUGGCAAGCGCAAAGUCCGGAGUUCAAUACCUGGUGCCAAAAAAUAAAUAAAUAAAAUUAAUUAAUUAAUAAUAAUAAUGCGUUGCUUUAGGUUACAUACUUUAUCUGGAUUUAUCAAUCAUGCUUUUCCAUGCUCUCCCAUCUUGCUCUUCCAGGCUCCCUGCUUCAUCUAGAACUUUUGUGAGUAAUGCAUUUGAGACCAAGGAGCGGACAUUAGGACGGCAGCCCUUUCAUCACUAUUAAGCACCAUGAGGAAGACUCUGACGUGAUGAAAUGGCACAAGUCCUCCAACUACAAAAUUAACCUCCAACUAUAAAAUUAACGGGUGCUGCCCGUUUGCUCCUUGGAGCCAGUCUUCCCUUCCUCCCUUUGCUUUCUGCUUUAGGAGGUUGACCUGCACAGACUACAUUGACCAUGCCUUUGCCCCUGACUUCUGGUUUGAGGUCAUGAGGUCAUGAGGGUGGGACCACCAUGAUGGCAUUAGUGGCUUUACAAGGAGAGCAAAGAAGACCUGAGCUAGCAUGCUUGCUCUGUCUCACCAUGUGAUGUCAUCUGCCACGCUAUAAUGCAACGAGGAGACUCUCACAAGAUACCAGCAUCCUGUUCUGGACUUUCUAGUCCAGAAAUUAACCUCUGUUCUCUUAUAGCAACAGAAAAUAGGCUAAGCCUUAGGUAGUUCCACAGAAUCUGGAAUUUCCUGCCUCACCAAAGAUGUGCAAGCUUUCUAAAGCCAUAAGUCAAUUAUCCAAGGCUAAUUAUAGUAAGUGAACAGAUUCCGUGUCCUACGAGAAACAUUUCCUAUACAUUAAGUACAUGCUAUGAGGCAUGUGGUGGCCACAUGCUUCGAGGCCAACUGACACAUUCCUAGGAGAGUCUUUUUAAAUUUGUGAUGAAUAUCAAAAGGUUAUUAUUCCUUCUCAGCAAAUAUAAUGGGAGAACCUGUAUAGGUUUAAAUUUAAGAAGCAUAUUUUGUCAUUUCUAAGACAUACAUUUAUUGAUUAUUGUUGGGGUCCCCUCGGUGGGAGACUGGAACCUGAAGACAGUAUCAGACAAAACCUAUUAAAUGAAGGGCACGGGGGACCACAACUCUUGGAGUUAAGGUGAGGUUUAUUGGUAAUAUCCUUCUUUUAUACAUUUUUCUGUAGGAUACAUCAAUCAUUAACAGUUUACAAUGCUAGUCAACUAACCACCAGUUAUAUCUAUGAGUACAUAAAACAUCUACAGAGCCAUCUAUGCUCCUUUAAUCUUAGUGCAUCUUAUCUAAAUCAUCCUGGCUACUUAAAGCUUCUAAAAAGUUAGCUAUUCUUAUCUAGUCCUAUACCAAGCAAAUAUUUGAGAGUCUUAAGGGACCACAGUGGAAUGAACACUGUGAGACCGACAAACAGCCUUCUGAAGUUAUCUUUAAUUUCUCUAUCUGGGCCUGCCACAGACAUCAGGACAAUCUGUCUUCCCAAGGCUGUCCGAGGGCCUGAGAACUUCUCAUAUCCUCCAUAGGUUAUAAUCUUCUUAAAUUAGGAUAUGUUCUUUUUUUUUUUUUUUUUUUUUGGUACCGGGGAUUGAACUCGGGUCCUUGUGCUUACGCAGCAGGCGGCAAAACCACUGAGCUAAAUCCCCGGCCCCAAUUAGGGUAUGUCUUAAAUUCAUGUAUCUCUAUGGUAGCUAAGCACAGGUGUAAACUAUCCUUACUCCUCUGCAUACUAUGGUUAUUUUAUUUAUUUUUGGCUUUCUGAGAUAGUAUCUCACUAUGUAGUUCAGGCUGACCCUGAACUCACUAUGUAGCUCAGGUUGGCUUCAAACUCACAGCGAUCCUACUGCCUCACUCUCCCAAGUGUUGGGAUCACAGGCAUGUGCCACCAUGCCCGGCUAAGGACUGCUUUGCAAAGAAGUGCAAACAACUUUGACAAGAUAGAUGAAGUGUUAAAUCAUUCAAAUUUCCUAAACAGGGCGUGGUGUACACCUAUAGUCCUAGCACUAUGGGAUGCUGAGGUAGGAGGAUUGCCAUGAGUUCAAGGACAGCCUGAUUACAGAGCAAGACCUUGUUUUAAAAAACCAAACCGGGGGCGGGGAUUUAGCUCAGUGGUUUCGCCGCCUGCUGCGCAAGUGCAAUGACCCGAGUUCAAUCCCUGGUACAAAAAAAACCCCUCAAAAACCAAAAAAACCCAAACCAAACCCAAAUCAUGCAAACUUCCCAACUUGUUCUUUGUGUGUUAAACAAAAGCUUUAUACAAUCAUCUGUGUAGUUUACCUUUUUUUUUUUUUGGUACCAAGGACCGAACUCGGGUCCUUACGCUUGCAUAGCAGGCGGCAAAACCACUGAGCUAAAUCCCUGGCCCCUUCUUUUUUCUGAGACAAGGUCUCACUGUGUAGUUCAGGCUGGCCUUAAACUC
rnacentral:lncRNA from 1 species